rnacentral:rRNA from 1 species
ACACCUUGUCCUUAGUUACCAGCACGUUAUGGUGGGCACUCUAAGGAGACUGCCGGUGACAAACCGGAGGAAGGUGGGGAUGACGUCAAGUCAUCAUGGCCCUUACGGCCUGGGCUACACACGUGCUACAAUGGUCGGUACAAAGGGUUGCCAAGCCGCGAGGUGGAGCUAAUCCCAUAAAACCGAUCGUAGUCCGGAUCGCAGUCUGCAACUCGACUGCGUGAAGUCGGAAUCGCUAGUAAUCGUGAAUCAGAAUGUCACGGUGAAUACGUUCCCGGGCCUU